CUGUGCUAUGCAAAUGGAAGGGGUAACGGAUCUAACAGAUAAAAGUCUAACAGGUAAAAGGCUGAAUAACUUGUAAGAAGGAAAUUGCAGUUUUCAAGGAAGAAGCUUUAAGGGUUUGGAACUUCUCAAGUACUCACUAGUAGUUGUUCCCCAUUUACUUGUCCAGGACCUGUGAGAAGGACUGAGAAAUCACAGAAGAAAACCUCUUCACAAAGCAAUCCCAGGAGAAAAGAUAUGGAGUUCUGAGAGAUACCAGAUUGAACAAAAUGGGAUUUCAGAGCUGAAUGGAUUGUGGCUGCUCUUCUUCUUUUCUAAGGCAUGGGUUUCAUCCCUGAAGAGCUGAAAUAAGGGAUCUGAUUAACCACUCCAGUUGUAUGCCAGUGCGACAUCGUAAUGUCAUCGCAGUAAUCAGUGGAGUUAGGCAGUCAUAAAAAUAAAAUCAUGUAGUGACAGAGGAAGCCAACAGGUCAGAUGAACAAUCAAGACCUUUUUCUGAGUCUAUCUGCAGUCUUUCACUUGCAUCACUUUUCCCCUGCUAUGAUGCUUAUAAAAGUUUUGGGCUGUUUGCAGGUGCCAAAAUAUUCUCAGAAUAAAUUUGCACUGAAUUUAAGACAAGCCGACUGAAGACCUCUCCUGAGUCCCUUAUUUUCUCAAAUUCCACAAUUACGAUGUUAUUAUCUAAGAUGGUGAAGGCCCCAACAAUCAUCUUCCUGUAGUUUAUGAAGCAGUUAAUUUAUGUUCGGACUAUCAGACAAAUUGUUUUGGAGCCACUCCGCUUUCUCUUGGUUCACAUUCUGAAUGAUAAUAGACCUGGAAGACCUCUAAUUUGCUUUGUUGAUGUUGCUACACAGUCAGGAUUCAGCACACAACUAGGAUAUUUAAUUUUUACUCAGAUUUUUUUAUUCUUCAUCAACUCCAAUUUAGGCUUCCAUCUCACCUAAAUAUUUUAAUUCAUUUGUAAAAGCAAAUAAAAUAUUCUGUAAGUGUAAAAGAUGCAGACGAACUCUCUGUAUUAACCAAUUUAUAGGAGUCUCUCUUGGUACAAACAAAGAACAAUCCUGCAUGAAUUAUUUCCUGUUGCUAUUUAGAGACCCUUCGAGACUGCACUUCUUGUUUUCAUAAGACCACCUUGUGUAAUUGAGGG
ensembl:lncRNA